ensembl:lncRNA
GCGUAAUUCAUUCCGAGCUCUAUUUUGCAUCGAGGUAAGGUUGUUGUCUCCUUUCUCAAGUGUAUAAUUUCAUUUGUCAGUGAAAAUACAGCAUCUUUCCAUCUAGUGAUCUAAAUUGUAUCUGGUUUUGAACUGAAAGUUAACUGUUUUGAACAGAGUAUCUAAAUAUCUGCAAAAAAUGCUGUAGUUGCACAGCGUUUUGCUGGUGGUGAACAUUGACUGAGACAGGUGUCCAUGAAUCUCGGAAGAAGUGGUCAUUGACUGCAUUUUGUAUCUAAGCAAUGGAAAAGAAUCCCAUUUUGUUCACAUUAUCUACUGAUAUGCUGGAUGUGUUAAGUGUUUUGAGAAAGUGUACAUGGUAUUGAACCAAAAGACUUGUAUAAUUUGACUUGUAAUACAAGACUUGUAACUUGUAACAAGUGUGAAAAUGAUUGGAAAAAACUGUAAUGGUCUCACUUUCUGAAGCUUGUCACCAGAGUCUGCUAUCCCUGGGUUUGAACAGGGUAGGUAUCUGCAUAACUCCUCAUACCUAUUUCGUGGCAUGGUGUCUGCCACAUAGGACACUUGUAAGGCUGGAUCAUAUGAACAGCAGUCAAGAUAAGAGGGUAAAUGAUGGAUACCCAUGAGGAUGUUUAUUCCCACAAACACCUUCACCUCCUCCACAAAUGUAUUGCACCAGGAUGCAUUUGAAGAGGCAUAGAGGUUGGUGUUUUCCACCAAAUUAGCAAAAAUGUUGGUUAUCUAUAUGGUUUAGCAGUGUUAAUAUUUAGUUUAAUAUUUAUUUAUUUACUAAAUAUAUAACAAAUACUAAUUAAAUACAUUAAGAAGAUAUUAAAUGUAAUACAUACGUCUGCAGUACUGUUACAAACUUAAGUCCAAAACGGACCUGGUUAUGAAUUUUAACUUUAGGGUGUAUGUAAAGCUAUGUAUUUUAAUAUUUGUAGAUGUCACUAAUACAUAUUUUAUAUCAUAUUAACAAACAAUUUAUGCCCUUUUAAACAAAACAAACUUGUAAUUAUCAUUUUUCUUUUGUUUUCUAACUGUAACUGUUUGUUUACAGGAUAACACAAAAUAAAGGAAGUCUCUGGUUUUCGCAGUAAUUUGCUGCAGUCUACUAUAAUUCUAUUGGGGUAUAGAGGGUUAACUUAAUAUUAUGCCCUCAAGUGUUCAGAUUGCAUUUGCUGAUGUACAUUUGCGGUUUCUCUUAAUUUGCAGUAGAAUAAUUAGUAGAACACAGCACUUUGUCAUAGAUAGUUCCAUGUUAUGUGAUAGAUAGCCUGAGUUGCCUACACACUGUAUAGUGUAAAUAUUGGUACUAAGCAACAUGUGGAUUCAUUGGUUUCAUAUGGCAUUUAUGUCCACCAACAGUUAUUCUAUAAUGCUGUAUUAAUGCCAGAUGUGUGUUCUCCAUGUACAGUGAUGGGGACAAAUCCUAACAUUUUGGUAUUGGGUGCUGGGUUUGCUGGAAUAGGCGCAGCUACCAAACUGGAAAGUCUGGGAUUCAAAGAUGUAACAAUAAUUGAGGCAUCUGGACUGGAUUGAGGGAAAAUGGCCAAAUAAUGUCUUGGUGUGUGUGGAAACAAUUCUGUUUUCUUGACCUAAUAUGAAGGGAGUUCAUUUAUAAUACAUUUUGAAUCAGUAGUGAUAUUUCCUUGACACAACAGCAAACUAAUUCAAGUUUCACUUCUGUACCUAAAUUACUUGUCAGCCAUUUUUUUCCAUAUAUUGUCUAUUCUAUUCUAUACUAUUUUUAUUCUGUUCUGUUCCUAUCUACUCUAUUAUAUUCUAUUGUAUUCUACACAGGCAAGUCCUGGGUAGAUACAUGAGCCCAGUUUAUCCACGGAGCCUCAGAGGUGAAUCCAGUGUACCAUCUGCUGAGGCGGGGCAGGGCGGGGGGGUGGGGGUUUGUGAACCAGCACUCUUGACUCUUGGUAGUACUACACCAACAUGGGAGAGGACCUCAACAUUGAGUUGAAUCAUUUUACAUCCUGUGUUGCGUCAACAAAGUAAUAACACUUUUACAGACCC